rnacentral:rRNA from 1 species
GACGUAGGGCGCGAGCGUUGUCCGGAUUUAUUGGGCGUAAAGAGCUCGUAGGCGGCUUGUCGCGUCGACUGUGAAAACCCGCGGCUCAACUGCGGGCCUGCAGCCGAUACGGGCAGGCUAGAGUUCGGUAGGGGAGACUGGAAUUCCUGGUGUAGCGGUGAAAUGCGUAGAUAUCGGGAGGAAUACCGAUGGCGAAGGCAACUGCCUGGGCCUGAACUGACACUGUGACACGAAAGCGUGGGUAGCAAACAGG